UGUCAGAAACUUUUCAUUACUUUCAAAACAAACCAUUCAAAAAUAUUUAUUAAAUACUCCAUUUUCGAUCUGUGAAUGUUUUUUUAAAAACAAUUAUGACUCUCGAGCAAAACUCUGUGGAAGUCAAGAAAAAGCAAGAAUUAACGCUAAUACAAAAGUGUUUGUUUUUCUCAAUCGGUGUGUUGUUCGCUCUAUCCAUCUUUGUUUUGAUUCGUCUAACAAAUGGUUUGAUAUUUGGACGUAACGCAAAAUUUCUAUCACAAAGCCCAAAGCUAAUGGAUGAAGUCUUUUAUGAACCGUAAUUUCGUUAAAUGUACUCCAUCCAUUUUUUACAACAAAUAAUGCAAGAUUUGGAAAGAAACAUUAUAGUCAGAAGCAGACGCGAUGUUAUUUAUCAAUUCUUUGUUGAAACCAGUGAAUGUAUCUUCGGAUUCGCAUUAACGGGUUUGAUCGGCGUUAGUCUUAUUAUUAUUGCCGUAUGGUUAAUACAUUUUAUGGAAACAUUCUCUGUUCAUUAGUCGGAAAAUGGAAGUGCUGUGAGAUGACGAUGGAGAGCUCUUUUAAAUAUUGAAGUUAUUUUUAAUUAACAUCGUAUUUAAUUUGAUAAUUUGAAAUAUGAGAUGAAUACAUAUUUA